rnacentral:misc_RNA from 1 species
GAUGAAGAACGCAGCAAAAUGCGAUAAGUAAUGUGAAUUGCAGAAUUCAGUGAAUCAUCGAAUCUUUGAACGCACAUUGCGCCCGCCAGUAUUCUGGCGGGCAUGCCUGUUCGAGCGUCAUUUCAACCCUCAAGCACAGCUUGGUGUUGGGACUCGCGUUAAUUCGCGUUCCUCAAAUUGAUUGGCGGUCACGUCGAGCUUCCAUAGCGUAGUAGUAAAACCCUCGUUACUGGUAAUCGUCGCGGCCACGCCGUUAAACCCCAACUUCUGAAUGUUGACCUCGGAUCAGGUAGGAAUACCCGCUGAACUUAAGCAUAUAAAUAAGCGGAGGA